UGCCAGCAGCCGCGGUAAUACAGAGGGUGCGAGCGUUAAUCGGAGUUACUGGGCGUAAAGGGCGCGUAGGCGGUUUGUUAAGUCAGUUGUGAAAUCCCAGGGCUCAACCUUGGAACUGCAAUUGAUACUGGCCGACUCGAGUCGAAGAGAGGGAAGCGGAAUUUCCGGUGUAGCGGUGAAAUGCGUAGAUAUCGGAAGGAACACCCGUGGCGAAGGCGGCUUCCUGGCUUCAGACUGACGCUGAGGCGCGAAAGCGUGGGGAGCGAACAGGAUUAGAUA
rnacentral:rRNA from 1 species